GACGAACGCUGGCGGCGUGCCUAAUACAUGCAAGUAGAACGCACAGUUUAUACCGUAGCUUGCUACACCAUAGACUGUGAGUUGCGAACGGGUGAGUAACGCGUAGGUAACCUGCCUGGUAUCGGGGGAUAACUAUUGGAAACGAUAGCUAAUACCGCAUAAUAUUGAUUAUUGCAUGAUAAUUAAUUGAAAUGUUCAAUUUCACCACUACCAGAUGGACCUUCGUUGUAUUAGCUAGUAGGUGAGGUAACGGCUCACCUAGGCGACGAUACAUAGCCGACCUGCGAGGGUGAUCGGCCAAACUGGGACUGAGAAACGGCCCAGACUCCUACGGGAGGCAGCAGUAGGGAAUCUUCGGCAAUGGACGAAAGUCUGACCGAGCAACGCCGCGUGAGUGAAGAAGGUUUUCGGAUCGUAAAGCUCUGUUGUAAGAGAAGAACGGGUGUGAGAGUGGAAAGUUCACACUGUGACGGUAUCUUACCAGAAAGGGACGGCUAACUACGUG
rnacentral:rRNA from 1 species